UCACAUCUGUCUAAUGAUCCACUGGGUUCUGUGCCUUUCAUGCCACACCACGUCUCUCUACUUCUAUGGCACAGAGAUUUCUCGUGCCGUCCACUGCCUGUGGCCCCUCUCGGGGUCCCGAGGGAGCACCUUUCAGAGCCAAGGGCACAGAAAGGACUUGAGGUCAACACAGGGAUGUGUGUGAAGCCAAGCCAAGAUGGUAAUUGGGAAAACCUGAAGCUGGGUGAUUUUAGCACUGAAGACCAGAAGCUGAAUAACCUGUCAGCCAAGAGGCAUGCUCUCCGCUCUCCCUCCCGGCCUUCUGAAAACUCCCCACGGCAUGCUGCCAGCUUCAGGCUCUCUGAUGAGGACAUGCUUAUUACGGAAGACUUGUUAAAGGAUGAAGUGGGAUUCUCUGAGCUCUAAUUCAAGUUAUUUAACAUAUUCAGGUCUUGUAUUUGCUAAUCUGUGGAGUGGAGGCGGUGAUUCUGCCCUCACUCUUGCAGAUGUCUUGAGUAUGUAUUGCAAUGAGAGAAUACAUAAAAGCCAAAAACCCAUCCUUGGACAGAAGCUAAAACUUAAGAUAUUUGGUGAUACAGGGUUACUAUUUCCACUCGGAUAAUUCCUAAAACUUGACUCUCGGUGGUUGACCUUU